rnacentral:rRNA from 1 species
UACGGGGGGGGCAAGCGUUGUUCGGAAUUACUGGGUUUAAAGGGUGCGUAGGUGGGCAAGUAAGUCAGUGGUGAAAUCUCCGGGCUUAACCCGGAAACUGCCAUUGAUACUAUUUGUCUUGAAUACUGUGGAGGUCAGCGGAAUAUGUCAUGUAGCGGUGAAAUGCUUAGAUAUGACAUAGAACACCAAUUGCGAAGGCAGCUGGCUACACAAAUAUUGACACUGAGGCACGAAAGCGUGGGGAUCAAACAGG